ACUUAAAUUGAAGAGUUUGAUCAUGGCUCAGAUUGAACGCUGGCGGCAGGCCUAACACAUGCAAGUCGAGCGGUAGCACAGAGAGCUUGCUCUCGGGUGACGAGCGGCGGACGGGUGAGUAAUGUCUGGGAAACUGCCUGAUGGAGGGGGAUAACUACUGGAAACGGUAGCUAAUACCGCAUAACGUCGCAAGACCAAAGUGGGGGACCUUCGGGCCUCAUGCCAUCAGAUGUGCCCAGAUGGGAUUAGCUAGUAGGUGGGGUAAUGGCUCACCUAGGCGACGAUCCCUAGCUGGUCUGAGAGGAUGACCAGCCACACUGGAACUGAGACACGGUCCAGACUCCUACGGGAGGCAGCAGUGGGGAAUAUUGCACAAUGGGCGCAAGCCUGAUGCAGCCAUGCCGCGUGUGUGAAGAAGGCCUUCGGGUUGUAAAGCACUUUCAGCGGGGAGGAAGGCGUUAAGGUUAAUAACCUUGGCGAUUGACGUUACCCGCAGAAGAAGCACCGGCUAACUCCGUGCCAGCAGCCGCGGUAAUACGGAGGGUGCAAGCGUUAAUCGGAAUUACUGGGCGUAAAGCGCACGCAGGCGGUCUGUCAAGUCGGAUGUGAAAUCCCCGGGCUCAACCUGGGAACUGCAUUCGAAACUGGCAGGCUAGAGUCUUGUAGAGGGGGGUAGAAUUCCAGGUGUAGCGGUGAAAUGCGUAGAGAUCUGGAGGAAUACCGGUGGCGAAGGCGGCCCCCUGGACAAAGACUGACGCUCAGGUGCGAAAGCGUGGGGAGCAAACAGGAUUAGAUACCCUGGUAGUCCACGCCGUAAACGAUGUCGAUUUGGAGGUUGUGCCCUUGAGGCGUGGCUUCCGGAGCUAACGCGUUAAAUCGACCGCCUGGGGAGUACGGCCGCAAGGUUAAAACUCAAAUGAAUUGACGGGGGCCCGCACAAGCGGUGGAGCAUGUGGUUUAAUUCGAUGCAACGCGAAGAACCUUACCUGGUCUUGACAUCCACAGAACUUUCCAGAGAUGGAUUGGUGCCUUCGGGAACUGUGAGACAGGUGCUGCAUGGCUGUCGUCAGCUCGUGUUGUGAAAUGUUGGGUUAAGUCCCGCAACGAGCGCAACCCUUAUCCUUUGUUGCCAGCGGUUAGGCCGGGAACUCAAAGGAGACUGCCAGUGAUAAACUGGAGGAAGGUGGGGAUGACGUCAAGUCAUCAUGGCCCUUACGACCAGGGCUACACACGUGCUACAAUGGCAUAUACAAAGAGAAGCGACCUCGCGAGAGCAAGCGGACCUCAUAAAGUAUGUCGUAGUCCGGAUUGGAGUCUGCAACUCGACUCCAUGAAGUCGGAAUCGCUAGUAAUCGUAGAUCAGAAUGCUACGGUGAAUACGUUCCCGGGCCUUGUACACACCGCCCGUCACACCAUGGGAGUGGGUUGCAAAAGAAGUAGGUAGCUUAACCUUCGGGAGGGCGCUUACCACUUUGUGAUUCAUGACUGGGGUGAAGUCGUAACAAGGUAACCGUAGGGGAACCUGCGGUUGGAUCACCUCCUUACCUUAAAGAA
rnacentral:rRNA from 3 species